UCCCCUGAUGGUCCAGUGGCUAAGACUCUGUGCUCUCAAUGCAGGGGGCCCAGGUUCAAUCCCUGGUCAAGGAA